CACGGAAUUAGCCGGUCCUUAUUCAUGCGGUACCUGCAAACAACCACACGUGGCUGACUUUAUCCCCGCAUAAAAGCAGUUUACAACCCAUAGGGCAGUCAUCCUGCACGCUACUUGGCUGGUUCAGACUUACGUCCAUUGACCAAUAUUCCUCACUGCUGCCUCCCGUAGGAGUUUGGACCGUGUCUCAGUUCCAAUGUGGGGGACCUUCCUCUCAGAACCCCUACUGAUCGUCGGUUUGGUGGGCCGUUACCCGCCAACUGCCUAAUCAGACGCAUCCCCAUCCUUUACCGAUAAAAUCUUUGAUCAAAGUCUCAUGAGAGCUUUCGAUAACAUCCGGUAUUAAUCCAACUUUCGCUGGGCUAUACCAGAGUAAAGGGAGGUUGGAUACGCGUUACUCACCCGUGCGCCGGUCGCCAACAUCGGUUGCAAGCAACCAAUUUGAUGCCCCUCGACUUGCUAUGUGUUAAGCCUGUAGCUAGCGUUCAUCCUGAGCCAGGAUCAAACUC
rnacentral:rRNA from 1 species